rnacentral:sRNA from 1 species
UGCGCAUCCUCGCGACUAAUGACAACCCUAACCCACGCGUAUUGGGUAAAGCCUCUCAUUAGCCGCGCGAACCUCUGCGACGGAAGAUCAUUCAUAGCAACAAUACAUUAGUUUCCAGCGAAUUGCUGCCAUCUGCUGGAAAAAAGGGGCCAUGAAGGCCCCCUCU